AGCGCAGGUGGUUUCUUAAGUCUGACGUAAAAGGCAGUGGCUCAACCAUUGUGUGCAUUGGAAACUGGGAGACUUGAGUGCAGGAGAGGAGAGUGGAAUUCCAUGUGUAGCGGUGAAAUGCGUAGAUAUAUGGAGGAACACCGGAGGCGAAAGCGGCUCUCUGGCCUGUAACUGACGCUCAUGCACGAAAGCUGGGAGCAAAC
rnacentral:rRNA from 1 species